rnacentral:RNase_P_RNA from 1 species
UGACCGGGCUGGGCAGCCGCGCGUCUGUUUAAUUCGACGUGAGGAAAGUCCGGGCUCCAUAGGGCAGGACGCCGGGUAACGCCCGGCGGAGGUGACUCCAGGGAAAGUGCAACAGAAAUAAACCGCCGUUUUGGCUUACGCCGACGCGGCAAGGGUGGAAAGGCGGGGUAAGAGCCCACCGCUUCCCCGGUAACGGGGAAGGCCCUGUAAACCCCGUCCGGAGCAAGAUCAAAUAAAGGCGCAUGGGGCGGCCCGUCCCCGCUUUUGGUAAGAUCGCGUGAGCGCGCCGGCGACGGCACGCCCAGACAGAUGGCUGUCCACGACAGAACCCGGCUUACAGGCCCGGUCAAUAU